GAUGAACGCUGGCGGCGUGCCUAAUACAUGCAAGUCGAGCGAACAGACGAGGAGCUUGCUCCUCUGACGUUAGCGGCGGACGGGUGAGUAACACGUGGAUAACCUACCUAUAAGACUGGGAUAACUUCGGGAAACCGGAGCUAAUACCGGAUAAUAUAUUGAACCGCAUGGUUCAAUAGUGAAAGACGGUUUUGCUGUCACUUAUAGAUGGAUCCGCGCCGCAUUAGCUAGUUGGUAAGGUAACGGCUUACCAAGGCAACGAUGCGUAGCCGACCUGAGAGGGUGAUCGGCCACACGGGAACUGAGACACGGUCCAGACUCCUGCGGGAGGCAGCAGUAGGGAAUCUUCCGCAAUGGGCGAAAGCCUGACGGAGCAACGCCGCGUGAGUGAUGAAGGUCUUCGGAUCGUAAAACUCUGUUAUUAGGGAAGAACAAAUGUGUAAGUAACUAUGCACGUCUUGACGGUACCUAAUCAGAAAGCCACGGCUAACUACGUG
rnacentral:rRNA from 1 species